UACGUAGGGGGCAAGCGUUGUCCGGAUUUAUUGGGCGUAAAGAGCGUGUAGGCGGCCAUACAGGUCAGCUGUGAAAACUCGAGGCUCAACCUCGAGACGUCGGUUGAAACCGUAUGGCUAGAGUCCGGAAGAGGAGAGUGGAAUUCCCGGUGUAGCGGUGAAAUGCGCAGAUAUCGGGAAGAACACCUAUGGCGAAGGCAGCUCGCUGGGACGGUACUGACGCUGGAGAACGCGAAAGCGUGGGGAGCAAACAGG
rnacentral:rRNA from 1 species